GAGCCCCCAGCCCAGCAGACGAUAGGCACCAGAGGGAAGGCAGUGCACCGACUUGUAACGUACAGUCCAACGUGACGGGGACCCUGCCUGUAAGAGGAGAUGUACGCAGCCUCACAGGGCCGGAGCCAACUCACAAUGAGGUGACGG